UACGUAGGGUGCAAGCGUUGUCCGGAAUUAUUGGGCGUAAAGAGCUCGUAGGCGGCUUGUCGCGUCGGCUGUGAAAACCUGGGGCUCAACCCCGGGCCUGCAGCCGAUACGGGCAAGCUAGAAUUCGGUAGGGGAGACUGGAAUUCCUGGUGUAGCGGUGAAAUGCGUAGAGAUCGGGAGGAACACCAGUGGCGAAGGCGGCUUGCUGGGCCGGACCUGACGCUGAGACGCGAAGGCGUGGGGAGCGAACGGG
rnacentral:rRNA from 1 species